GCACUGCUGAAGAGUCCCACAAUGGGGCGAAACAGCUGUCCAGUGC
rnacentral:hammerhead_ribozyme from 1 species